GCCCUGGUAGCUCAUCUGGUAGAGCAAUUGCCUCGUAAGUCCGGGAGAGCAAUAGGUGGUGGGUUCAAGUCCCAUCCAGGGCU
rnacentral:tRNA from 1 species